CUACCGGGCGACCGGAUGCGGAUCUCGAAAGCCUGUCCCAGUUCGGACUGGAGUCUGCAACCCGACUCCACGAAGUUGGAUUCGCUAGUAAUCGCGCAUCAGCCAUGGCGCGGUGAAUACGUUCCCGGGCCUUGUACACACCGCCCGUCAAGCCAUGGGAGCCGGGGGCGCCUGAAGUCCGGGACCGCGAGGACCGGCCUAGGGCGAAACUGGUAACUGGGGCUAAGUCGUAACAAGGUAGC
rnacentral:rRNA from 1 species